AUAUUGGAGGGCAAGUCUGGUGCCAGCAGCCGCGGUAAUUCCAGCUCCNAUAGCGUAUAUUAAAGUUGCUGCGGUUAAAAAGCUCGUAGUUGGAUUUCAGUCCAACCUAUGGGGUCCAUCGAUAAAGGGUUAGUAGGCAGGGAUGGAUCUUUCUGGUGCUCGCAUCGGAUUGAUUCUUCACUCUUCUGGCCUGAUGGCUACUCUUAUAGUGUUGAGACAGAAACUGCCCGAUAUUUGCUAUCAAUGCUCUUCAUUGAGUGUUGAUUCAAGCGAUCGGGACUUUUACCUUGAAAAAAUCAGAGUGCUCAAAGCAGGCGUCCAAAACCUCGAAAGAGGUGCCUAAAAACGGUAUGGUCAACCAUCGAAAGAUGUGCACCACUACCUUAACUUGAAUGAUCUUGCAUGGAAUAAUAGAAUAGGACCUUGGUUCUAUUUUGUUGGUCUUAAGAAUCCAAGGUAAUGAUUAAGAGGGACAGACGGGGGCAUUUGUAUUGCGGCGCUAGAGGUGAAAUUCUUGGACCGUCGCAAGACAAACUACAGCGAAAGCAUUUGCCAAGAAUGUUUUCAUUAAUCAAGAACGAAAGUUAGAGGUUCGAAGGCGAUCAGAUACCGCCCUAGUUCUAACCAUAAACGAUGCCAA
rnacentral:rRNA from 1 species